rnacentral:rRNA from 1 species
AGGACGAACGCUGGCGGCGUGCUUAACACAUGCAAGUCGAGCGAACCUUCGGGUUAGCGGCGAACGGGUGAGUAACACGUGGGCAACCUGCCCCGAGCUCUGGGAUAACCCCGGGAAACCGGGGCUAAUACCGGAUAUGACCCGAGAAGACAUCUUCUCGGGUGGAAAGUUUUUCGGCUCGGGAUGGGCCCGCGGCCUAUCAGCUUGUUGGUGGGGUAACGGCCUACCAAGGCGACGACGGGUAGCC